AAAUCAAAGGAAUUGACGGGACCCGCACAAGCAGCGGAGCGUGUGGUUUAAUUCGUUGCUACACGAAGAACUUACCUGGGUUUGACAUAUAGGUUGUAGGGAACUGAAAAGGGACCGACCCUUCGGGGAGCCUAUACAGGUGUUGCAUGGCUGUCGUCAGCUCGUGUCGUGAGAUGUUCGGUUAAGUCCGCUAACGAGCGCAACCCUCGUCGUAUGUUAUAUGUGUCAUACGAGACUGCCGGUAAAAGCCGGAGGAAGGUGAGGAUGAUGUCAAGUCAGCAUGACCCUUAUAUCCAGGGCUACACACACGCUACAAUGGUCUGUACAAUGGGUAGCCAAGCCGCGAGGCGGAGCCAAUCCUGAAAGCAGGCCUCAGUUCAGAUUGCAGUCUGCAACUCGACUGCAUGAAGCCGGAGUUGCUAGUAACCGCAGGUCAGCAAUACUGCGGUGAAUACGUUCCCGGGUCUU
rnacentral:rRNA from 1 species